rnacentral:lncRNA from 1 species
UGCAAUCAAUUUCAAUGCAAUUCUGCAGAAUCUCAGACCACAGUAGAUGCCAAAGAGACAACAUCAAUGACUAUACUGGAAAAAUUGAACCAGAACUUGGCAAAGAGUCUAAAACCAAGUAUGAAUGACACCAAGACUCUCAAAGCACAUUCAGUAUCGGUGAAACUAAUUAAGCAGAUUCAAGAAACAUGUUACUUCAUCCAAUGUUGCCACAGAAAUUGAGCUCAUUCAAUUGAAUGUCACGACUCUUAAUGAUUAACAUCAAAGACCAAACUUAACUCAUGACUUGACAAUUACAAAGGUUAAACUCAGAUUCAUAUGACAAGUCAAACAAACAACAUGACUAAGACAUUACAGAAAUUGAUUUAGAAAAUAAAAUGACUCAAAGCGAAUGAUUCACUGAAU